rnacentral:rRNA from 1 species
UACGUAGGGACCAAGCGUUGUUCGGAUUUACUGGGCGUAAAGGGCGCGUAGGCGGCGCGGUAAGUCACUUGUGAAAUCUCUGAGCUUAACUCAGAACGGCCAAGUGAUACUGCAGUGCUAGAGUGUGGAAGGGGCAAUCGGAAUUCUUGGUGUAGCGGUGAAAUGCGAAGAUAUCAAGAGGAACACCUGAGGUGAAGACGGGUUGCUGGGCCAACACUGACGCUGAUGCGCGAAAGCCAGGGGAGCAAACGGG